GCGUUAUAGAAGAUCCCACACUACAUGACGGGGAUAUGCCGACCGCCAAAACAGCUAUGAAUAUCCAAUAGGCCCCACUGGGUACGAAUUUGGUCCCCGAGGGCGCCAUGUAAUCUCCAUGCAGCUAUUACAAAUUUAUGAAAAUAAGAUAACAUAUUUCGCACAAUAUUAGAAUUGAAAAAACUAAGUCAUUUUGCCGGUAUAGGAUCUGAAACAUGAUGCGUGGGCUAAUCAAGCAGAUACUGCUGCAGGCAAUAGGCCGUUGUGCCGGAGCAAUGGAUCUGGCGAUGGUUCACGUCCUCGGAAUGCAACAAACACCUCCAGUGGUGGUCUUCCGCCUCCAAGAGCAAGAAUGGUUUCUCUAAACCUGCGACCGGUUUCCUUAAUAGCCUUAUCAUUGUCCAAACCAGCAUCCUCAAAUGCGGAGAAAGCGUCGGCCGACAAAACCUCUGCCCAUUUGUAGCUAUAAUACCCAGCCGCAUAGCCACCUCCAAAUAUAUGGCUGAAACUGCAAAGGAAUCUAUCCUCAGGUAGGACAGGGAUGACUUGUGUUCUUUCUCCUACUCUUCGAUCAACAUCAAAUAUAGAUUCCGGUCCAUCCGGAAUAAAUGUUGUAUGCAAUUCCAAAUCUACGGU
rnacentral:misc_RNA from 1 species